rnacentral:rRNA from 1 species
GAUGAACGCUGGCGGCGUGCUUAACACAUACAAGUCGAACGGAAAGGCCCAAGCUUGCUUGGGUACUCGAGUGGCGAACGGGUGAGUAACACGUGGGUGAUCUGCCCUGCACUUCGGGAUAAGCCUGGGAAACUGGGUCUAAUACCGGAUAGGACCACUUCUUGGAUGUUGUGGUGGAAAGUUUUUUCGGUGUGGGAUGAGCUCGCGGCCUAUCAGCUUGUUGGUGGGGUAAUGGCCUACCAAGGCGUCGACGGGUAGCCGGCCUGAGAGGGUGUACGGCCACAGUGGGACUGAGAGACGGCCCAGACUCCUACGGGAGGCAGCAGUGGGGAAUAUUGCACAAUGGGCGCAAGCCUGAUGCAGCGACGCCGCGUGGGGGAUGACGGCCUUCGGGUUGUAAACUCCUUUCGCUAGGGACGAAGCGUUUUGUGACGGUACCUGGAGAAGAAGCACCGGCUAACUACGUG